AAGACCUCUCUGAAGGAAAGGCCGCGAAAGGACGGGGAAAGUCUCCACGCUUUGCAGGAAGGACGUUGCGGGGAAAGUAUCCAUGCUUUGCAGGAAGAGGUCGUCACCCAAUAUUUAAAAAAGUUCACUGGCCAUUUGUGUUACAUUCAAAAGGCUCUGUAAGGGAUCCUGGAUAACAACACCGUCAAUGAGGCCAUUGAAAACACCACUGUUGAGAACUAUGUUGUCAAAGAACAUGCUUCAAGUGAUGAAAUUGAGUACAUUGCCAUUGUCCUUGAAAGCAUCAAGGUGUUACAAGAUCUUGACAAUGUAGCAUUAGGUGUUCAGACUGAUGUAUGUACUCAUAGCUACCUGCUGACCUCCAAAAGAUUUGCACUUGCUCUGAAAAACAGGCUCUCUCAGUGAACUGGUCACACUUAUAACUGCAACCCUCAUUUUCAUUUGUGGUAUUUCUCCAUGGCGAGUGGUUUAUUAUUUGAAGUUUAUUACUUUUUGUUUGGAAAUCUACUUUGAUUUGUCAUCUAUGUAAAAUCAUUUUGAGCAAUGAUAAAUGUAAUUAAAUGUUUUAUUGCUUUUGG